ACCAGUCUGUAAGCACUGAUCCUCACCGUCCUCACAUACGGCUGAGACCAAAGCAUUACUUAUUCUUCAUCCGACAACUAGUCUUGAGAUUUGUGAGUGAAAUUCAACAUCAGAAAAUGUUCAAAACUAACUCAAGUAUAAGUGGUGUGUACUUUGAUCCCGGAGCAGCGAGACUUGAAGAUGUGUUUUGGAAGUAGCACGCUCUAACGUCCACUUGUCACAUACUGUUCCAUGCAUUGACGUCUGAGCGCUGAUGUCACUCCAGAUUGAGGAAUCGUUCAAAGAGGCCAACAGCUGAAUCCUGAUGCAUCGUAAACGCCCCGACCCAAGUACCUGCGAUGCACGUAUGCCUCUACAGUGCUUUCACAAAAUCCAUAGUCUGCCUUCUCAGCGGAAGGCCGGCAUGUCUCCAUCGCCUGCGUGUCUCGGCAGCUACCUCGACACGUGUCCAUCGUGUUUACAAUGCUAGAAUGUCUCCGAAAACACUAUCGGAAUGUCAUAAAAAUUGAGAUACUUUUCACAACAUCAAUUCCAUGCUUUCUUCUGAAGUGGAUGUUUGUUACAACCGCUUCAGAUCACGAGCAUGGUUACUUCAGUGAAUAUUGGUAUUGGCACAAAUUAGUUCAAAGGAAGUUGCACUUGUAUUCUUGUAUAUCAUAAGUAAAAAUGUUUAGAGAUUAGGUGCACUUACUAGCACCGAAAUUCUCUGUUAAAACGCCCUUUUAUGUAUCAAUCCACUAAUUACUUAUUCAAACCUUUGAGGUGUUCAAAACGCCCAUGUGAUCUCGCCCACCUCGACUGAACUUACAUGUCAAAAUGAUGAUCACCAGAGCCUUAGCCGAGUGUUCCAGAGAUUUUGAAGCUAAAGACACUGGUGCCCAUCAUUAGGAUAUGUUUUUCAUUACAAAUUUUACAUUAGAUCCGAAGACCUCUAAAAACUGUAGUGGUAUUUGUUACAAACACUUCGCAGACCCGGGGAGUUGAAUUCAGAGGUGGAUGUUUGUUACAACCACCUUAACGCAAGCUGGGUUCUGAAGUGGAUGCGUGUUGCAGCCGCCUCUUGUGAGCUGAAUUUGGAGGUGGCUGUGUACUGCAGCAGCUUAGGGGACCCGGUGAGCUGAAUUCUGAAGUGGAUGUUUGUUACAACCACUUCGCUGACUCCUUGGGCUGAUCUUGGAAGUGAAUGUUUGUCUCAUCCGCUUAAAAAAAAAAAAAUCCUCUGAUGUAGAGUUUUCUUAAAAAACAAAAUUUUGAGGUGGGUGAUUUCACAAGCCGAUUCAGAGAAUGUGCACGGGAUAAGAUUUUGUGAGCCACAUUUGAAAUUGAGUAUUUGUUACAAGCACUUGCUAGCUACUCCCCUACUUCAUCUGUUGUGAAUACCUGUUAUAGCCAUUUCGAAACGCCAACCCUCCCCCCCCUCUCUCCCCCACCCCUCCCCCAGACUCCAAUUCACAUCCCCUUUCGGUGAAAUGGUGAAUGAAUGUUAUUACAGCCCUCUGCCCCCACCCCCCACCCCCUACCCCCUCCAAUGCCCGAGAGCCACGGAAUGGAUGAAAUAUAUUAGAAACACCUCAUCAAGUUCCUCCUCCCUCUUCUUGUCCCAGGAUGUUGAAAUGGAUCUUUAUCACUCCUAUCCCUCUUCCCUCCUUCCGCACAUCACUUGGGAAGAUCAAUUCUAAACAUCUCGUCGCCGUCUCGCUUUCUCUCCGUGUCUCAAAACUUGGGAAUGAUUGUUUAUGACUGGUAAUUUUCCUUCUCGUUUGUUCUCGUCGAGGACACGCUGCUUAUGGACUCUUUAUUAUGAUACUUUCACACUUGGCCACACACUUAUCGGCGCUGAGAAAGGCAGUCUUCUAAAAUUGGCUCAUCUGUUUUCGUUAGAUUUAUUUAUAUUUCUGUCGACUCUUUUCGUUGCUGUUUGAUAUCCACACCUCACAAAAUGAAUAAAAUGUGAAUAACGACAA